rnacentral:rRNA from 1 species
GCUUGUCUCAAAGAUUAAGCCAUGCAUGUCUAAGUACAAGCCUCAGUAAGGUGAAACCGCGAAUGGCUCAUUAAAUCACACCUAAUCUACUGGAAAGUUACUAGUUACUUGGAUAACUGAGGUAAUUCUUGAGCUAAUACAUGCGUAAAUACCCAACUGCUUGUCGGACGGGUAGCAUUUAUUAGAUUGAAACCAAUGCAGCUUCGGCUGGUAUUGUGUUGAGUCAUAAUAACUGUGCGGAUCGCUUUUUAAGCGAUAAAUCGAUUGAGUUUCUGCCCUAUCAGCUUUGGAUGGUAGGAUAUGGGCCUACCAUGGCGUUAACGGGUAACGGGGAAUUAGGGUUUGAUUCCGGAGAGGGAGCCUUAGAAACGGCUACCACAUCCAAGGAAGGCAGCAGG